rnacentral:rRNA from 1 species
UACGUAGGGGGCAAGCGUUAUCCGGAUUCACUGGGUGUAAAGGGAGCGUAGACGGCCAUGCAAGCCUGGAGUGAAAGCCCGGGGCCCAACCCCGGGACUGCUCUGGGAACUGUGCGGCUGGAGUGCGGGAGGGGCAGGCGGAAUUCCUGGUGUAGCGGUGAAAUGCGUAGAUAUCAGGAGGAACACCGGCGGCGAAGGCGGCUUACUGGACUGUAACUGACGUUGAGGCUCGAAAGCGUGGGGAGCAAACAGG